rnacentral:rRNA from 1 species
AUUGAACGCUGGCGGCAGGCCUAACACAUGCAAGUCGAGCGGAUGAAGGGAGCUUGCUCCUGGAUUCAGCGGCGGACGGGUGAGUAAUGCCUAGGAAUCUGCCUGGUAGUGGGGGAUAACGUCCGGAAACGGGCGCUAAUACCGCAUACGUCCUGAGGGAGAAAGUGGGGGAUCUUCGGACCUCACGCUAUCAGAUGAGCCUAGGUCGGAUUAGCUAGUUGGUGGGGUAAAGGCCUACCAAGGCGACGAUCCGUAACUGGACUGAGAGGAUGAUCAGUCACACUGGAACGGAGACACGGUCCAGACGCCUACGGGAGGCAGCAGUGGGGAAUAUUGGACAAAGGGCGAAAGCCUGAUCCAGCCAUGCCGCGUGUGUGAAGAAGGUCUUCGGAUUGUAAAGCACUUUAAGUUGGGAGGAAGGGCAGUAAGUUAAUACCUUGCUGGUUUGACGUUACCAACAGAAUAAGCACCGGCUAACUUCGUG